AGAGUUUGAUCCUGGCUCAGGAUGAACGCCGGCGGUGUGCCUAAUACAUGCAAGUCGUACGCACUGGCCCAACUGAUUGAUGGUGCUUGCACCUGAUUGACGUUGGAUCACCAGUGAGUGGCGGACGGGUGAGUAACACGUAGGUAACCUGCCCCGGAGCGGGGGAUAACAUUUGGAAACAGAUGCUAAUACCGCAUAACAACAAAAGCCGCAUGGCUUUUGUUUGAAGGAUGGCUUUGGCUAUCACUCUGGGAUGGACCUGCGGUGCAUUAGCUAGUUGGUAAGGUAACGGCUUACCAAGGCGAUGAUGCAUAGCCGAGUUGAGAGACUGAUCGGCCACAAUGGAACUGAGACACGGUCCAUACUCCUACGGGAGGCAGCAGUAGGGAAUCUUCCACAAUGGACGAAAGUCUGAUGGAGCAACGCCGCGUGAGUGAAGAAGGGUUUCGGCUCGUAAAGCUCUGUUGGUAGUGAAGAAAGAUAGAGGUAGUAACUGGCCUUUAUUUGACGGUAAUUACUUAGAAAGUCACGGCUAACUACGUGCCAGCAGCCGCGGUAAUACGUAGGUGGCAAGCGUUAUCCGGAUUUAUUGGGCGUAAAGCGAGCGCAGGCGGUUGAUUAGGUCUGAUGUGAAAGCCUUCGGCUUAACCGAAGAAGUGCAUCGGAAACCGGGCGACUUGAGUGCAGAAGAGGACAGUGGAACUCCAUGUGUAGCGGUGGAAUGCGUAGAUAUAUGGAAGAACACCAGUGGCGAAGGCGGCUGUCUGGUCUGCAACUGACGCUGAGGCUCGAAAGCAUGGGUAGCGAACAGGAUUAGAUACCCUGGUAGUCCAUGCCGUAAACGAUGA
rnacentral:rRNA from 1 species